UGACAACUGACAAGAAGACAUAGAUACAAAAAUGGCGUCGGCGAGACUAUUUCCAUCAUAGCAUAUUAGGUCUAUUUUCUAUUUUGUGUUGUGUGGUUUUGUUUUCAUAUAAAAAUAGAGAGCAGAUAGCGGAAAAGACUAUUGAUGACCAGUGGAAACGAUACUGGAAGGGGAAUAUUUGGUAACAUCUAGGGGAUUUUCAACAAAGCUACAAUGUCUUGUGGUCACUAUGUCUUGGAACGAUUUCAUUGGGGGAAUUCAUAUCAUGUGACAUUGACAUAACAAUGGCGUCGGCGUGACUAGUUAUCUACCAUGGUUUUGUAUAUACUUGUUUUAAAUAUGAAAAUGGAGAGCAAAUGGUGGAAAAGUCUAUUGUUGACCAUCAGAAACGAUAUUAUGAAAGGUAACUGAACAUACUUCGAUGGAUGUUAUUAUCGGGUAUUAUAAUUGGAUGAAGGAAUGUGAUGGGAUAUUACAAAAAAAUACCUAGAUAGGUCUUGCAAUACACAGAGAAUAAGUCUGGUCGAACCUGAGGAGGUAGCUGUUAAAUACCAACAAUUAUUUAUUUUACACCCAUGUGGUAACCAUGAACUUUAUGGAUCUGAUUUUCGUUGGAUGUUACCAUCUGGUGUAGUAAUUGGUCAUAGGAAUCUGAUAUGGGAUAUUAUAAAAACAAAAAACCAUACGAUGGUCUUGCACUAUACAGAGGAUAAGUCUGGAUGCAAUCAAAUCAAAAGAAGGCUGCUGUUGAAUAAAUACUCACAAAUAUUCAUUUUCUGAUCAUUUGUUUUUGAAGUCUUCCCCGUAUUGGCUCUACUUCUGUAGUCUGGUAUAGGAGUUGAUUUGAAGGAUUGUUGGAAUGUCUCCAUUUGGUGAUUUUUCUUAGACAAGUUCUUUUGAGGCAAUCUCAAGUAUGAAUUAAUUUUCAAGGAAAAUAAUGAAUGUAAAUAUGUGAAAAUUGUAGUCAAGCUUCGAAUAAUUCACAAUGAAGAAAAAGUUCACAGUUUAUCUCAAGACAUGGCUGGACUGUUGGAAAAAGGCUCGAAAGAAAAGGACACAAUAGCAAAAUGUGAGAUGGAAAUGGAUGCGAAAAAUUGGGGACAGCUUUCCUACAUUACUGCGAAGAAUCCGAAGAAAUUAAAGGUCACAUUCAUAUAGGUGAAAUAAUUUAUCAAAUAGAAAUAGAGUGUAGCAAUUUUUUAUUAGUUGAAUUAGUAGGCUCUGGAACAGGAAUUUUCUCACUGUUAGUAUUUCUCAAGUCUUGCAACCAUUUGAGUCAUUCUUCAUUUACUAAAAGUUCUAAUUCUUCAUUUAAUUCAAAACUCAUUUUCCAAAUGUCUUAAAAAAAAUCUUGCUCUGAUAGCAUAGUGGCAAAGAAACCCAAGAGGGUAACAAAUUGACUAUCAAUUGAUUAUCAACAUUUUUCUUUAGUAGUUGUUGCUUUCUCUUCUAAAAUUUCCUCAAUUUCCUUGGAUGGACUUUGCUCAAUAACAAUCUUCUUUUUUUAUGGUCCCAUAUAUUAUAUGGAAACCAUCUCUCUUGUGAACCUCUUGGAAACUAGUUAUCAAAUCUAAUACCCAAUCCACAGAACGAUCACUGUCUAAAUAGUCAUCCAUAUAAUAUUGUUCCAUAAUUACCUUUACAUGCAAUUGAAUUUACUAGUAUGGUUCUACUCACUGGUGGCACAUAUUUUUCUUUCUUCCAAGAUCAGUAUCAGGAUGACUUAUUAUUUUGCUAUCUCGCCAAACCACAGAAAUCAGAAAUAUAGAUGUAUCAGUUUUAACAUUUAGUUCACUCACUUUUUUGUUCUAUUCAAAUUUCAAUGUUGUCGACAACUUGGAAACUAGCUCAGUGAGCUGUGGAUUGAAAAAUUAUGUUGUCACAGUUUUAAACAGAUUCUGAACUGCUAUGAGAGAUCAAUUAUUGGUAGUUCCUUGGGAAUGAACCAUCUUCAUAAGAACUUGCUUAUUUUAUCAUCUUGAAAGAAGGUUGAAGGUUAUGAAUGGUUUCUUUCAAUUCUUUAUUACAAUAAGAGAAACUUUGAUUUUUGAGUAUUAGAAAAAUAACAGACAUUUGUAUGAAACUGAAUGUAUCGACACAUACCCCAAAUUAAAAGAGUAGUCCACAAAUUUUUAUUCUAAAACAUAAAAUACAAAAAUAUGUUAAUAAAAAAAUAUCUUAAGAUAUCCAAGAAUAUUUCUUACAAUUUAUAGUGCCUAUUUGAUUCGAUGGAAUAUAGAAGUUGUUAAAUAAACUCAAAUCACACUUGUGAAAUUGCCGUAGGAAGGAAACUAAUUUUGCGUUUUUUGUUAUUAUGUGAAUAGACUUUAAGAUGAAAUCUCUGUUUUCUGAGCAAUAAUUCAAGUUUGUUAAAUAAACUCAAAUCACACUUGUAAAAUUGCCGUAGGUAGGAAACUCAUAUUAGGUUUUUGUUAUCAUGUGAAUAGAUUUUAAGAUGAAAUCGCUGUUUUCAGAGCAAUACUUCAAGUUUAUAUACCGACAUAAUAUUUCAAAUUGCAUUAUACGUAAAAUAUAAUAAAAUAAAGAAAUGUU